GUUGUUGGUGCAUCUCUGAGUUGAUGAUAGUCUUCACAGUUUAUUAUCGUUCCAUCAUUUUUAACUGUUUUUUUUCACUGGUUUUUUAGUCCCCUCCCCACCCCACAGGCAGCAAAAAAACACCCGAAAAGAAAACACUCCCAUCGAUCCCCUUCCAAUCGAUCCCUUUGUCGCCGCCCUCGCACUCGCGUCAAGCGCCCUCGAUCCCUGCGCUACCUCCCUUCGCCGCCGCUGCCACAGAUCCCUUCCCCGCUUCAGGAGCCGCCGAUGAUCCCUUUCAGGAGCCACGGGUAUCUUCUCUCUCGGGACGCUGCUCCGACACGAUCCGGUAAGGAGACAGGCCUCCGUGUGCGGCAACGAAGGCGGCGAGUGGCGGGCGACGGCCGACCCUUCACUCCGCCUCCGGCCCUCUCGGCCUCUCCUCCGCAAGUCCGCCUUCACCCACAUGCGCCCUCCACGGCUCCACGGCUGACGGCUCCAGUGCUCCACUCCCGGCAGUCUGGCACUGCCUUCGUCGCUGCAGUGGACUGCGUAGCCGUCAGACUUCGUCGCUGCAGUGGACUACAUCGAUCCAACCAUCCCUCAUACAUCUACUGAUCUACAAGCAUCAGCUAUCCACUCUGUUUUUAAACAAAUCUGAUUUUUUUUGUAAAUUACCACUGCCACUGAUUGCUAGAAGGAAUAGAACUCCAUACGUGACAUUAGAUUCGGCACCAGCUUCUAACCCGGUGUAUUACUAAUAGAAUUUGUUCACGGGAUCGCAUUCUGAGCAUGAGCUUGCCAUGCUUUUUCUCUGUUUCCGGCGUUGCCAGUUUACAUGUGGUCCUCCUAUAUCAGCCCGGUAGUUUCAGCAACGCGAUAUAUAUGUGGCAUCUUCGCCCACUUGAAAUGGUAAUACAUCUAUAUAUUUUGGCAGGCAUCUAUUUUGUAUGCUUGAUUAAAAAUGAGUUUUGAGUAUACAUUGUUUUGAGUAUACAUUGUACGUCGUGGAAGGAGCCGGCGCUGGAGCUGCGCGCUCCUGGACGGGGACGGCGGCCUGGACAUGCUCCAGGAGAUGUUCGUCGUGUCGAGCAUCCUACCCAUUGGCAGCCAGAGAUCCUCGACGGUUCCGUGUGGCCUUAACCGUCGCUAGGCUCCCUGCACGCAUGCCCCAACUCUUCUACCUCCUCUCAGGCAUGAUGUUAUAUCAAUGAAAACCUUGCAAGGUAAAAUGAUGGUCCUGAAUGGGUUAGACACAUAUACUGCAUCAAUGGAAACAAAGGCGACACCUCUCUCUAUUGUGCUUCUAUCUGUUCUGUGGAUCAAUUCAAAAUGUUGAUCGUUAUGGGUCGAUAAAAAAUGUCCAAAAUCUGAUGUGUGGUGAUCAGCUGGUCAAAAAAGUGACGGUGUGUGACGAUCGGACGACCGGAUAAUCGGACGUCUUCUUCUUCAAGCUCCCAGCAUGCCGUACUCUCCAUCUCUUGUCUCUUUCGCACGGCGGGGCAGAGGGAGUUGAUUGAGGACCGCAUCGUUGGCGACCCAGUGCAAGCACGUGGCAGCGACUACGAUGCACAUUAGGCUACUGUUCUUCUACCGGUACGCAGCGGCCGUGUGCCGCCGCCGAGCUCUUCAUUGGCGUCCUCCUGGUACACCAUCAUGCAGCACCAAGGUUAAAAAAACGCCAUAUUGUUGGUCCCUUUCAAUUGAAAUAUUCCUUUUAUAUGAUCAGGUCAUAAGUAUGUGAUCUGCAAGGUUUAUAUAAAAAAGGAUUUCCAAUUAUGAUAAGUUGUAGCUUAUUGAUCCCAACUGUUAGACCAUGUGUGCUCACUGAUUUCCCCAUCUGAAUGUCCGUACACCGAAACAAACGUAGCAGUCGUAUGCCAACUGCUUGUCGAGUUGCAUCAUUAGCCUAAGCAGAUAGCCAUCUUGCAUAUUGUUUGCCCCAAUAAUAUUUCUCAUUUUUGCUGAUGCAUCUUUUGCCCCCAUUGGAGUUAUGGUUAUCUUCUUACAUGGUUAACAUGUCAAUUUUGUAAACAAGGAACCAUUCAUAACCAGCAAUCUUGAUUAGCUUAUGCCCGUUGUCUCGUAUCAAUUUUGAGUCUUAGUUUGUUCACCAUCAUCAAUAAGUGGGACCUUUCAUUUCUUCACAAAUGUCGGCGAACUCACCAAAUCGUUCAACUCAUCAACUCACAAAAUGCACGACCAUCAAGC